rnacentral:rRNA from 1 species
CCCUUAGAUGUUCUGGGCCGCACGCGCGCUACACUGAUGCAUUCAACGAGUUUUUCCUGGUCCGAGAGGAAUGGGUAACCUUUUGAAAGUGCAUCGUGCUAGGGAUAGACUAUUGCAAUUAUUGGUCUUCAACGAGGAAUUCCUAGUAGACGUAGUUCAUCAGACUGCAUCGAUUACGUCCCUGCCCUUUGUACACACCGCCCGUCGCUCCUACCGAUUGAGUGGUCCGGUGAGGCUUUGGGAUCUGAGCGGAAAGAGCGUUUCGCUGUUUCUGCUCGGAAAACUCAGUCGAACCUUAUCAUUUAGAGGAAGGAGAAGUCGUAACA